AUUGAACGCUGGCGGCAUGCUUUACACAUGCAAGUCGGACGGCAGCACAGAGAAGCUCGCUUCUUGGGUGGCGAGUGGCGAACGGGUGAGUAACAUAUCGGAACGUGCCGAGCAGUGGGGGAUAACUAAUCGAAAGAUUAGCUAAUACCGCAUAUUUUCUGAGGAAGAAAGCAGGGGACCUUUGGGCCUUGCGCUGUUUGAGCGGCCGAUAUCUGAUUAGCUAGUUGGUGGGGUAAAGGCCUACCAAGGCGACGAUCAGUAGCGGGUCUGAGAGGAUGAUCCGCCACACUGGGACUGAGACACGGCCCAGACUCCUACGGGAGGCAGCAGUGGGGAAUUUUGGACAAUGGGCGCAAGCCUGAUCCAGCCAUGCCGCGUGUCUGAAGAAGGCCUUCGGGUUGUAAAGGACUUUUGUCAGGGAAGAAAAGGGCGGGGUUAAUACCCCUGUCUGAUGACGGUACCUGAAGAAUAAGCACCGGCUAACUACGUG
rnacentral:rRNA from 1 species